rnacentral:lncRNA from 1 species
GUGGAAUUAUUCCCUCCUCAGGAGACUCCUGAAUGGCUUCAUGAAAUACCAUUAUAGAAUCACCAUUUAUAUCAGUCUUCACAAGAAGGUGAGAGAACUGCUCUUCUCAGCAAUUCAGGCAGGUCAAGUCAGUGCGUCUUUCUACAUGAUAAGGGUUACUGUGAGCAUAGACUGCUUCCUGUCACAGUUGCCUGGUCAGACCCUUGCCCUUCCCCAACAAACUACAGCCAUGCCCCUAGUAAGCCAGGGAUCAAACUUUCCACAAGGCAGGGC